rnacentral:sRNA from 1 species
GCCAGGUGUGGGGGUGCAUGCCUGUAAUCUAAGCAGCUCGGGAGGCUGAGGCAGGAGGAUUGAGAGUUCAAAGCCAGCCUCCGCAAAAGUGAAGUGCUAAGCGACUCAGUGAGACCCUGUCUCUA